GGUAAUGUUAUAUACAGGGUAUAUUUAAAUACAGGGUAUUGUUAUUAGUACAGUGUAAGACCUCAAUCAAAAAGAGAGUCCAUCUGUUCUAUUGAAGUAUCUUCCAUAUAGCUGAUAAAGGGUUGCCAAAUUUUAUAAAACACUUUACUUUUAUUCCUUAACCAGUAUGUUAGUUUUUCCAAGGGUAUACAGUUGUUGACCUCAGAUAGCCACAAAUUAUUGGGGUUAGCAGUAUCAGAUUUCCACUUCAUUGCAAUGCACUUCUUGGCAAUAUUAGCAAGUUUUAUGGUGUAAACCUGUUGAAGAUUAGAAUUGUUAUAUUUACCCAAUAGGCAUACUUCUGGAUCCAUUGGAAAAUUGACUCCAUGAAUAUCAGAGAUAAUGUUGCAUACUUUUUGCCAAAAUGAAUUUAUGGACAGGUCCAUGUGGAAGGUAAAAAUUUUCCUUCAUCCACUCCACAUCUAAAGCAGAGAGGUGAAAUUUUUUAUUAAACUUAUGGAGUUUUGAUGGUGUGAUAUAAAGUUGAUGAAGGAUCAUUAUGGAGUUUUGAUGGUGUGAUAUAAAGUUGAUUAAGGAUCAUGAUUAAAUUGAAUCAUUCUAUAUCUAGAGUUCAAUUAUGAUGUACACUGUAGCACCAUCCCUCAUAGUUCACCCCAUGUUCCAUCGUUCCAUCAUCUAUGUUAAUGUCCAAAUCUUGUUCCCAUUUGACUUUAGAUUAAUCCACUUCUUUUAGCGGCUAAUUUUUCGUAAGGGAGUUAUGUAUUCUAGAGGUUAUUGUGUAUAAAGUUUGACUCGAAUAGAUAAAUUGCUCCAAUUGUGUUAAUUUAGGUCAUUUCAGUUGGGUUUAAAUCUCACAACUGCAGAUAUCCAAAGAACUCUUUACUGCCUAAGUUGUAUUUGGAUUUAAGAUGCUCAAAAGACAUCAGUAUCUCAUCCUCAAAACACUGUUCUAAGCCGGAACUUCCUUUAUCGGACGGUCCAUAUUUUAAAAUGUUUGUCUUGGAAGCAUUUUGGGAGCAGUCUAUUAUUCCAUAAUGGUGAAAACAAUAAAAUCGAAUAUGCAGUCCCUCCACUGAUCACAAGAUGGUGACAUUCCUUACAGAAACACCGAAAUAUUCUAACCUUUUUCUAAAGAAAACAUUAAUGAAACUUAUUAUUAACAGAGAGCUAAGCUUAGCACAGAAGUUUAGCGGUCUGGAAGUUGUUACAAAUGAAUCAGGUACGAUGUGUUAAAAUUAAACUUUUUUUCCCUUCAUGGGUUAUUGAAGCUCCUCAGCGCAGUUAGUGAGUAGCCUAUUAACCUGUGGUUCAGCUGCAAACGGCGUGUGGUUGCUGCUUCUAACGUUACAUUUCUCAUGGCUGGAGGUUGGACUAAUCAACAUCCUGUAAUAAUAUGUCAUGUGCCAGUCCUUAGGCUGGUUACACUGUAUAAUAAUUAUUAUAGGAUUUUAAGUAUUACAGUUUAGUGUAGUAAUGUGACCAAUGAGACAAACAACCUCCCGAUAAUUGGAUCGAGUAUGUGGCUAUUUGAGCUCCCAUUACUCCCCUUGGCAGAAGACAACUUUGUCUGUCUUCCCAGUAGCGAGUAUUCAGCCUAAUGUUCUCUUCCUCAGUUACACUUGUUGACCACAAGAGGGAGCACGCUAAUUUUUCUAACUAACAAAAGUUAUAUUUGAUAAUUCUUUUUUACAGUUCCAGCCAAAUAAAAAUGACAUUCAAAAUAUAGAAUAUUUAGAAAAUAUAGAAUAACAGUCUAAAAUAUAGACUGACACUUGUUAGGAAUUCAUACACCCCUUGUUAUAUAAAAUAUCAAAUGAUCCAUGAGUCAUUAUAAGUUAAUCUCAUUUACACUGCAUCAGACCACCCUAGAAAGUAUAGAGCAAUCUUUGAACUCCUCCACUAGAGAGUUUUACUUUUAAGCAAUUCUCAUUCAACAAAUGAGUCUGAUUAAUUCAAUACUUAAAAAAAUACACUACCAUUAAAUUAAAUUAUAUGGUACCUUUAGGUUGGUUAUCAAGAAAUUGACUUUGUGAAGGGCCUCAGAGCUAAUUAUGUCAUAAUGUGUUGCUAUUGAUAAUUUAUUUGAAAUUAUUUAAUAUACAAAUAUACAAAGCUCAGAACUGCAGUUAACUAAAUUAUUCUAGGUAAUCAGCUGGUGCUGAGUUAAGCUUGCAGCUGUUUGUUCGAACUCCUUAUGGCUAGCAGUUGGCAUGGUCGGAAAUAAAUGUAGCUUUGACAGCAGAAACUAGAUAGGGAAAGGUGGGUGUCCAGUUCAGACACUUUUCAUAUGUCAGGACAGGAGUUGUUCAAUUGGGGUCACUGUACCCAAGUAUCAUAAUUUAGGACCUUAUAUGGAACACGACCAAUAAAAACAAACUCUGGAUGUCUUGAUAAAAAGGUAUUAAACACUUUUCCUUCAAAAAUGAUAAACAAAAUAAUCAAACAUUUAAGACUUGUAGUUCGAAAAGAUUGAUCUUUCUACUGAAACCUUAUGCAGCUGAAUUAUUCAAUUGGUGAAUGAUAAUAUAAAAUGUUAACUUUGAUUUAAAAAGUUAGAAAUGAUAAUAAAGCAAAAUGAUAUUUAUUUAUCUACUCAAAAUGAGGGCAGUUCCAUGAGUUUUAUUAUUUAAAAUGUUAAAACAUUUAAUGUGCUUUUUUAAAAUAAAAUUUGUAAAAUGUUUUUUUAGAACUCAAAACACAAUAUAUGCUAUGUGUAAAUCAUGUUCUGCUUUAGCUGUUAUUGUCUGGGCUAAACACUAUAUCUCCUGAAGGUAUUUAAGGCUGUGAGUGAUGAGAAGCUUGAUAGUUGUUGGUUUGUAGCUAUCAAUUAUUGCUGUAGAGAAGCCUUGAUGAGCUGCUGAACUCAGACUAUUUACAAAAUGAGAGCUAUUCCAAAACAGUAAAAACACAGCAGGUGUGAAGUUGUCAACCUCUCAUCUUAAUGCCUUUUAAAUGUUAAGAGUCUAUGAAGCCAAGCUGCCUGACUGCAUUCUUCUCCAAUAAGUUUUGCCACGUUACUGACAGUACUUUCAUACACAGAGUUCAUUACAGUUGACUGUGAACACACUCUGAGGGCAUUGAAAUUCAGGCCUGAAUGUACUACAGUACAUACACAUCUGUACAGGUCAUUCACACUACUGUCCCUUACAAACAUAUUGUCACCAUACAUUGAAAAUAUAUAUAUUUCUUUACCCACUUUUUGCCUCAGAUAAAUAAAAUGUUACUACAUAAUUAUUAUUAUUUUUAUUAUAUUUAGUUUCAGGCAGAGUUGUUACCAUUAUAGACAUUGACAACAUUCAGAAUAGCGGUUGAUUUUUAAAUGUAUGAUUUUUGAAUGUAAAUGAUUAAUCACAAUAAUUGAACAAAGAUUGACUCCACCCUCCAAAUUUUUUUUGAGCCACUUGCAUCACACAGGCAAAUAUAACGUGUCCUAAAAGAGAUAUGGCCAAGAGAGCAAGUAUAUAUUUAGUGCAUGUUUCUGUAGACUGUUUGGCUCGGACAAGUCUGAGCUGCAGGGCACAACAGGGCAGUCGUCACAGUUGACAUUUGGCAACAUUUGCAGGAACGUGCAAAUAGGAUGCCAAGCAAGUUUUGAAACAACAAGGAAAUGGCUUUGAAUGUGAUGCCCUGGGAGACACACAACUGCACACUGGAUCAGUAUAUCCUCUAUGCCCUCCUGCUAAGUGGAUCCUACUCCACCUCACGCCUGCCCCUGAGUCUACAGAGACUGCUCCAGCCCCAGAGUUCAUCCCAGAGUCCUCUUCAUCCUCCUAUCUGGAUACCAAAUUGACACCAGUCUGGACUGACCAUGAAGUCAGUCCGUGCAUCUAUAAAAAUGUUUCCGGUGGUCCCAGAGCUCCCAAUUCAGGUGGUCCCAAAACUCCCCAGUCCAGUGAUCUCAGAGUUCUCAAAUCCGUUGGUCCCAAGUCCAUUGGUCCUAGCACUUCCGAGUCCAGUGGUCACAGAGGUACUUCCACCGUCAGCUGAGCUUCCUGUGAUGGCAACUGCUGUUUUGGGUGUUUGGGCCGCAUACACUUCUCCUGCUUCUUCCAAAGUGGCAGCGACCGCUACUGCUCCUCCCAAGGUGGCUAUCAACUCUCAGAAAAAUAACUCUUUCUUACUGGGUACAGUACUACUCAGAGCAUGUAGCCUUGAUCGCAUUGUUAAAGAAACUUUGUUUUGCAAGCAGUGAUCACAGAAUCAAUACAAAUGUGAAUGUUCACAAAAGUUUUAUUUAGCUAAAUCACGAACAUAUAACUAUAACUAGUUAUAUGUUUAUAUAGUCUAAACAAACACAUACACACAAUCACACAUAUAUGGGUAAAAUGGUGAAAGUGAACAAAUGAAACAGAAACAGGGGAAUGAGGCCAUGGAAAUGUAAGUGUCGGUUAAGCACCUGAAAAACAAACAAACAAACAAAAAAACACCAUCAGUUUCUUAAUUAAAGCACCCUGGUAGCAAGGGGUCUACAGCUUGGACUAAACCUCUGACAGAUGCAGUCUCGGAGGAAAGUCUUGAUGGUUCCAUGGUUUGAUGGUGAUGAAGAUGUCAGCAGAGACCUCUCCCAUGUGGAAAGUUACAACGUAGCUUGAUGUGUUGGGGCCCUGCCGUGAGGAGUCCUGCAGCGUUGCGGAGUCCCAAAGUGAGGUCCCACUGUGUUGCGGUUGGACCAGAUAUCUACACUCUUUUCCCACACAAACAGCAACAAGAAGAGCGGAAAGGUCACUGAGAUAGUGGAAUCCGUUAUAUCUGAAAUCCACUCCUUAACCCCCUCCUGUACUUUCCAAGUGUUGUGUUGCCAUGGUUACUAAUCACCUGCAUCUGGCCCUCAUCACCACACCAAUCAGUUCCCCUUCAAAAGGCACACACAUUCACUUAAUCUUAGUUCUGGCCACAUCAAGGUCACAGACCCCCUUACCUGCAAACUUGUCUUGUGGAUUUAUCUUCUGUGUAUGUUCUCCAGCGAUCUGCUUGGGACCUAGUAAGACAUUCCAAGUUAUUCAUCUGCAUAUCACACUGAACGUAAAUUGAUACAUGUUUCACCUGUCACCUGUUUUUGAUACAUGUUUCACCUGUUUCUGGGUUCUGUUAACCCAGUGUGGCUGUUGCUUUCUUUAUUUCUGUUUUAUUACGUGAUAGAAAGCCUAAGGCCUUCUCAAGCCGUUUGGAAAACCCGGGUGUGCCUCAUACGUCCUGAAAAGUGAAGCUGUGGGCUCUUUGAUCGCCCCCUGGAGGCUGGAUGCAGUACAGGUCAUAAACCCCGCCCGCUCAAUGCAGAUGAAUGAGACUUAAGUUAAAACAUAAAAAUAAAUUAUGCUUCAAAUAAAAUUUUCCGAAAGAUGGUUUUGGUCAUUUAAGGUAGUUGUCAUCAUGCUGAUUUAUAUUCAAUUGUUAGUUUUUCAUGAUAAGUUUGAUUUUUAGCUAGCAAUUUGGUGCUAUAGAAACGGGGCGUGUCAUUGUGAUUCACAGUUGAUUGACAGCUUGUCUGAGGACUGUCGGAGCUUCGAGGGGAGAUUGAAGAUAAAUAACUAUUAAUUUUCAAUUUCUGUGUUAUUUCAAACCGACAAAAUGAGCUGUUCAGCAGUAAACUGUACUAACUGACCUACAGGAUUUGACGGAUAUCUGAGCUUUUCUCUGUAACGUUAAAUGUGGACUUCAUAAGCUAAUUAAUGUGUCAGCAUUUUGGCUUCAGUUCAAUACAAUGGAAGGAAGCGGCGUCGCGUCGUCCAUCUUUUUUUUACAGUCUAUGGAAAACCCAUCUAAUCUGCUGCCUAUUACACACCAAACUAAGAUUACUGUGGAGACAGAAAGUAAGACUGUUAGCACUUUUAAACAUCUGCUCACUUAAGAAUAAAUCACUUCUAGUCAACGACUUAACGACAAACAACCUAAAUUAUGUUAAAAUGUUAAAAGGUGCUCCACAUAUUUAUCGUCAUUUACAGGCCUCCAUAAUACUCUCCAGCCUUUGUUGAGGACUUUACAGAACUGUUAUCAACAAUUUCCUCAGAGUUUGACUGUUUUGCCAUUACUGGGGACUUUAAUAUCCACAUAGAUAAUGCAGAUAAUCACAGUCAAACUCGCCCAAGGAUCCUCGACAGUUUUUGCAAUUGUAGAGAGACUAACAAACCCCCCAAGUCAGAUUCCCAAUGAAAUGCUCUCAGACAGCAAAUGCUGUGAGUUUGCUUCCUCCUUCUCUGAGAAAAUCAAUAAUAUCAGAAAGGUCACUUAGAAAUACCAAGGGUUCACUCAAAGCAAGGAGAGUCUGCUUUUAGCUGUUACGCGAGCCGCAGCUGGGACCAUCUUCCUGAAGAGAUCAGAUGUGCUCCAACAGUAGUCACAUUCAAAUCCAGAUUCAAAACGCAUCUGUUUAGCUAUGCAUUUACUGAUUGACCACUGUGCUAUGUCAGAACUGAUUGCACUUUAUUUUAUAUGUAUCAUCUUUUUAUUCUUUUAAUUCUUUUUCUUGUUUUUAUUUUAUUUUUAAUGCAUAUUAUAUAUUAAUCUUUUAUGCGUCAUCUGUUUAUUUCUGACUGUUUUAAUUUAAUUUAAAUCUUGCUGUCUGGUUGAAAGAGCUGAGAGAAUUAGGAGGUAAGCAUUUGGACAGAGUUAGUCCAGGAAGAUUUGUCUGUAAGGGUACUGUUUAAACGCACAGCUACCUGACAAAUAUAAAUAUUUUUACAGUUAUCCCUCCACGUGAGGAAGAUCCAUUUAGAUCCACUCUGAUGGAUUGAUCCAUUUAGAUCCGCUCUGACGGACAACAAAGUUGAGUUAGCCCUGGUGGCUACAAAAAGUCUGACUGAAACUCCCUGACUCUUCCAUCCAGAUAGGGGUAUUCUCUGUUUUUACUGUUAUUUUUAUUUCUUAUGCAUUCCAUUUUUAUUCUUAUGUAUUUGUUUCCUCUUUAUGUAAAGCACUUUGAAUUACCAUUGUGUAUGAAAUGUGCUAUAUUAAUAAAAUUGCCUUGCCUGUUUAUGCACAUACUGUUCAAUAAAUUACCUGAAACUGA